UACGUAGGGGGCAAGCGUUGUCCGGAAUUAUUGGGCGUAAAGCGAGCGCAGGCGGUUCCUUAAGUCUGAUGUGAAAGCCCACGGCUUAACCGUGGAGGGUCAUUGGAAACUGGGGAACUUGAGUGCAGAAGAGGAGAGUGGAAUUCCACGUGUAGCGGUGAAAUGCGUAGAUAUGUGGAGGAACACCAGUGGCGAAGGCGACUCUCUGGUCUGUAACUGACGCUGAGGCGCGAAAGCGUGGGGAGCGAACAGG
rnacentral:rRNA from 1 species